GUUCAGCAAAUGGAGGCGCUUGGAAAAGGCUGGGACGCAGGCAGAGGAACGGAUUUCCUGGCCUACGAACACCCUGGCUCUUGUUUCGGGGGUGGGGUGGGGGUGGGGUGCUUUUUUUUCUUAAAGCAAAUACGUACAGGUCAUUUACUGGGUGUCAGGCCCUGCAGGAGUGAUUGAGUGGGUGAGCAGGAACUCCAGGUCCUGUCCGGGUCACUCUGACCUCAAUAGCAGUGAGGGAUUUUUUAAGGCAGCAACAGGAUUUCUGGUGUCCAGUGCUUGAAAACUCAAGGGAAGAAAGCCCCCAGCUCUCAAGCCAAGCAAGGAUCUUUGUCUCUAGGCUAACAGAACAUGUGGUUCCAACAUCUGGGGUUUGUAGCCUGCAAAAAUCUAAUCAUGAAGACAGAGAGAUUGUCACAAAUUCCCAUAACGCACUUUGGGUAUCUCGGCUCUUGGCCUGUUUGGAGCAGAUCAGCACUACCAGGAGUGAUGGCCCUCAGUGGUUAGUGGAGCCACUAACUAUUAAGAGAACCAAUUUAAACAGCUGGAAACAAUAAGCAUAGGAGGAGAAGAAGACACGCGGAGGACUGAUAUUGCUCCACAGGGGCCGGUGGCAGCCUGUGCAUACAGAAGUAGUUCACGCUCCCCAAGAUGAUGGAAGAGGUGCUGAACACCUCAAGGAGCUCCCUGUGCACUCUGCCACAGACAGCCUGUAGCUCCCCUGCCUCACACCCACAAGGCGCCAAAGGCAUUGUCUCUGCACGGCCAGGGGUUUUUGCAGAGCCUCUGGGCAUCCUGGGAAUGACACUAAGAACAGCAUCCAGAGAGACACCCACCUACCAGGCAAGGGGUGGGGCUCUACAGUGAAAGAUGGACCUAAGGAAUCAAUGGAGAUACACAGGCCAGCUACCAGCACAGAGAGCAGCAGGCGCUAGGUGGGAAUGUGGCUUUGUGCCUCAGCACUUGCAGAGGGAAGGACUCUAUCCCUGCCAUGGCACUGUUUCUCAAAGUCAGAUGCUAGAAGCUGACUGCCCAUGUAGCAAUGCUGAGUCCGGGCCUAAUAAGAAGUGAUUGGGUCAUGAGGACCAGGUCUUCAUGAAUGGAGAAUGUGGUGGUUUGAAUAUGCUUGGCCCAUGGGAAGGGGAGCCAUUAAGAGGGGGUGGUCUUGUUACAGGAAGUGUGUCAUUGUGUAGGCGGGCUUCAAGGUCCUAUGUUCAAGCUCUGCCUAGUGUGGAAAGGAGAGCCUCCUCCUGGCUGUCUGCCAAUUAAGAGGCUGUUCCUCCAGUACCAUGUCUGCCUAAACGAUGCCGUGUUUCCUGCCAUGAUGAUAAUAGACUGAACUUUUGAAACUGUAAGCCAGACCCAAUUAAAUGUUUGCCUUC
ensembl:lincRNA Gm15408 predicted gene 15408